rnacentral:lncRNA from 1 species
CUUCCGACCUGCAAAGAAUGUUGAAGUUCAUGCUGUGGGCGUCCUUACUUCAAGUGUGGUUCCAGCCACCCUCUCCCGUCUGCAGGCAGCAACGGCCAGUGAUGAAACGCUGGAAGAUGUCA